GGCUCAGAUUGGACGCUGGCGGCAGGCCUAACACAUGCAAGUCGAGCGGUAGAGAGGUGCUUGCAUCUCUUGAGAGCGGCGGACGGGUGAGUAAUGCCUAGGAAUCUGCCUAGUGGUGGGGGAUAACGUUCGGAAACGGACGCUAAUACCGCAUACGUCCUACGGGAGAAAGCGGGGGGAUCUUCGGACCUCGCGCCAUUAGAUGAGCCUAGGUCGGAUUAGCUAGUUGGUGAGGUAAUGGCUCACCAAGGCGACGAUCCGUAACUGGUCUGAGAGGAUGAUCAGUCACACUGGAACUGAGACACGGUCCAGACUCCUACGGGAGGCAGCAGUGGGGAAUAUUGGACAAUGGGCGAAAGCCUGAUCCAGCCAUGCCGCGUGUGUGAAGAAGGUCUUCGGAUUGUAAAGCACUUUAAGUUGGGAGGAAGGGUAGUAACCUAAUACGUUGCUACUUUGACGUUACCGACAGAAUAAGCACCGGCUAACUUCGUG
rnacentral:rRNA from 1 species